rnacentral:ncRNA from 1 species
UCUUAGCUGUUAAUCUAAAACUUAUCCCAAUAAGUCAAUGAAGAUUGAUAACUUGGACCACAUGCACGUUAAAGAUGGCUUAGUCUCUAAAUGAGCAAUAGUUAUAAAAUACAGCGAUGAUAAUUAGUAAUUAUGAUAAAACUCUGGGAAAGCUUUUGAAUGAAUAUUAAAGUUGCAGUGUAAUUUGGUUAAUGUGCUACUAACC